CCAGGGAGCCUAAGACGACUUGGGAUUUCUGAAGCGAGACAUGCCCACGCGAGGCGCGGGGUGAUGGUCAGGCGGAGGCCGUGACAGAGAACGGUGCUGAGGAGAAGCCAGGCCGCUGCCUCGCCCUCUCGCGCCCCCCGUGGCUCGGGGAGCCCCGGCCGCUCAGGUGCGCGCCACACAGCGCCAGCCCGCCCCAGCUGAACGACUUCUUUUUAAGAGGAGGUAGCAUUGUGGGGCGGUACCUGGAACGUCCCCACAGAUGCGUGGAGCUUGAAGAAUCAUUCAAGAGAAUUUUAAGAGAAAAAAUGCUACAUUUGGGGUUUGUCAAAUGGGAAACGUGAGGGAAUAUGGUGACUGCUGUUGGAAACAUGACAGGUAUGCCGCGUUUUAAGGCUGACCAGGGAGGACCAUUCGUUCUGAAACCAACCCUGAAAGAAGGCGAGCACAGUUAGAAGGGCCGAGAAUUAACGAGAUGAUCUCCUUCAGUGGUCUGCAACGAUGGAUAUUGUACUGCUCAUCAUCUCUGUUCAGGAAUUCCCCAUUGAAAGGACAGGUUUUACAAAUGGGAAAGCUGAGAUCCACAAAUUCUAGCUGACUUGCCCAAGACAACAGUCCAGAAUUAGUUAUUCCGGAACCAAGAGCCCACUCUGAUUUAUCGCACGGCUUCUGUGUUAGCAUCCUCCUCC